rnacentral:rRNA from 1 species
CACGUAGGGAGCAAGCGUUGUCCGGAAUCAUUGGGCGUAAAGAGCUCGUAGGCGGCUCAGUAAGUCGGGUGUGAAACCUCCAGGCUCAACCUGGAGACGCCACUCGAUACUGCUGUGGCUAGAGUCCAGUAGGGGAGUGUGGAAUUCCCGGUGUAGCGGUGAAAUGCGCAGAUAUCGGGAGGAACACCAGCGGCGAAGGCGGCACUCUGGGCUGGUACUGACGCUGAGGAGCGAAAGCGUGGGGAGCAACAGG